CUAGUGGAAGUCUGUCUACUUGCGCUGGAAAUCACACCUCCCAACUGGAGUGUAUGUAUACCCCAGGAGAUCUGACUGCAAAUUCUGGUCAAUAGCCAUUAGACAAGUUUCCCUCCCAGAUAUUCUACGUUGUCUCACCAAACCAGAAAACUACAAAUACAGUCAUGCACUGAUGGGAGCCUCAUUUACAAAAAGUUAUUCCUGUGAACUGGCUUCUGUCCAAUAGUCACUGCAUCUGAAGAGACAAAGAAAGCAGCACUUGGACUCUGAAGGAG